AUGAACUCCCUGCUCCUGGCCUUUGGGCUGUUUGCUUGUCUACUUUGCGUCCAGUCUGCGGUGACCCUGAGGCAGCCUGGAUCAGUGCAGCUGAGGCCAUCAGAAACCCUCCGGCUCACUUGUUCUGUUUCUGGAUUUUCCCUCACUUCUGCUGGCUCUAUAGUGAGCUGGGUUCGUCAACCCGCAGGGAAAGGCCUGGAGUGGCUGUGCCACAUUGAUUGGGAUGGUGACAAGUUCUACCUGGACUCCCUGAGAAGCCGGCUAAGUAUCUCCAGCGACACAUCCAAGAGCGAGGUUCAUUUGGAGAUGAGAGGCAUGCAGCCAGGAGACACCGGCACAUACUACUGUGCUGGAGGAGCACAGCAGAUCAAAGCAAUGGGAGACCCGGACAAAUACCAACUGCAUAGUGACUCAGCUAGCCAGGAAGCAGAGCACCAUGGGUACUGA